rnacentral:rRNA from 22 species
UUAAAUUGAAGAGUUUGAUCAUGGCUCAGAUUGAACGCUGGCGGCAGGCCUAACACAUGCAAGUCGAACGGUAACAGGAAGCAGCUUGCUGCUUCGCUGACGAGUGGCGGACGGGUGAGUAAUGUCUGGGAAACUGCCUGAUGGAGGGGGAUAACUACUGGAAACGGUGGCUAAUACCGCAUAACGUCGCAAGACCAAAGAGGGGGACCUUCGGGCCUCUUG